rnacentral:rRNA from 1 species
UACAGAGGGGGCAAGCGUUGUUCGGAAUUACUGGGCGUAAAGGCGCGUAGGCGGCCUGCUAAGUCGAACGUGAAAUCCCUGGGCUCAACCCAGGAACUGCGUCCGAUACUGGUUGGCUUGAAUCCGGGAGAGGGAUGCGGAAUUCCACGUGUAGCAGUGAAAUGCGUAGAGAUGUGGAGGAACACCGAUGGCGAAGGCAGCCCCCUGGGUCAAGAUUGACGCUCAUGCACGAAAGCGUGGGGAGCAAACAGG